rnacentral:rRNA from 1 species
GACGUAGGGUGCGAACGUUGUCCGGAUUUAUUGGGCGUAAAGAGCUCGUAGGCGGCUCGUCGCGUCGACCGUGAAAACUUGGGGCUUAACCCUAAGCUUGCGGUUGAUACGGGCGGGCUAGAGUUCGGUAGGGGAGACUGGAAUUCCUGGUGUAGCGGUGAAAUGCGCAGAUAUCAGGAGGAACACCGGUGGCGAAGGCGGGUCUCUGGGCCGAUACUGACGCUGAGGAGCGAAAGCGUGGGGAGCGAACAGG